AAGUCUCUAAGAGUGAUUACAGCUGUGAGUCUUUCUGGGUAAGUCUCUAAGAGUGAUUACAGCUGUGAGUCUUUCUGGGUAAGUCUCUAAGAGCUUUGCACACCUGGAUUGUACAAUAUUUGCCCAUUAUUCUUUAAACAAUUCUUCAAGCUCUGUCAAGUUGAUUGUUGAUCAUUAUUAGAUAACCAUAUUCAAGUCUUUCCAUAGAUCUUCAAGCCGAUUUAAGUCAAAACUGUAACUAGACCACUCAGGAAUAUUCAAUAUCUUCUUGGUAAGUAACUAAAGUGUAGAUUUGGCCUUGUUUUAGGUUAUUGUCCUUCUGAAAGGCGAAUUCAUCUCCUCAUUGUCUAUUGGAACACAGACUGAACCAGACUUUCCUCUAGGAUUUUGGCUGUGCUUAUAGCUGUCUACCGUUUAUUUUUAUCCUAAUAACUCCCUAGUCCUUGCCAAUGACAAGCAUACCCAUAACAUGAUGCAGCCACCGCCAUGCUUGAAAAUAUGAAGUGGUACUGAGUGAUGUGUUGUGUUGGAUUUGCCCCAAACAAAACGCUUUAUUCAGGACAAAAAGUUAAUUUCUUUGCCGAAAUGUUUUCAGUAUUACUUAAGUGCCUUGUUGCAAACAGGAUGCAUGUUUUGGAGUAUUUUUAUUCUGUACAGGCUUUUUUAAAUCUGUCAUUUAGGUUAGUAUUAUGGAGUAACUAUGGAGUAACUACAAUGUUUAUCCAUCCUCAGUUGUUUUCUCCUAUCACAGUCAUUACACUCUGUAACUGUUUUAAGGUCACCAUUGGCUUCAUGGUGAAAAUCCUGAGCGGUUUCCUUCCUCUCCGGCAACUGAGUUAGGAAGGACGUCUGUAUCUUUGUAGCGACUGGGUGUAUUGAUACACCAUCCAAAGCCUAAUUAUAACUUCACCUUGCUCAAAGGGAUAUUACACAUUUUACCCAUCUACCAACCGGUGCCCUUCUUUGCGAGGCAUUGAAAAAUCUCCUUGGUCUUUGUGGUUGAAUAUGUGUUUGAAAUUCACUGCUCGAUUGAGGGACCUUACAAUUAUCUGUAUGUGUUGGGGUACAGAGAUGAGGUAGUCAUUUAAAAAUCAUGUUAACCAAUAUUAUUGAACACGGAAUGAGUCCAUGCAACUUAUUAUGAGAUUUGUUAAGCACACUUUUACUCCUGAACUUAUUUAGGCUUACCAUAAAGGGGUUGAAUACUUAUUGACUCAAGACAUUUCAGCUUAAAAUGUUUUAUUAAUAAAUAAAAAAUUAGACUAACAAAAUUCCACUUUGACAUUAUGGGGUAUUGCGUGUAGAUCAGGUAUUGUGUAUUACAUUGUAAUUCAGACUGUAAACCAUUUAAAAUUCAGACUGUAAACCAUUUUAAAAUCAGACUGUAAACCAUUUUAAAAUCAGACUGUACACCAUUUUAAAAUCAGACUGUACACCAUUUUAAAAUCAGACUGUAAACCAUUUUAAAUUCAGACUGUAAACCAUUUUAAAAUCAGACUGUAAACCAUUUUAAAUUCAGUCUGUAAACCAUUUUAAAUUCAGGCUGUAACAACACAAUGUGGGAGAAGUUAAAAAGGUGUGAAUCCUUUCUGAAGGCCACUGUACAUACAACCGUUGCUAUGGGACCAAGAACAUUGCUACAGUACUGUGUUGUUUAUAGCACACUUAUUUAUACUGUAUCACACUGUAGAUAUAUGCCACUCAGAAAGCAUGCAGGACAUUAUUAAGGUCAUUACGGUAAGAUUAUAAAUUAACCAUAUGAAAUAAAGAUGAGAGGAAUAUUAAAACAGGGAUUUUACCACUGAGGAAGUCACGUGGUCUGUAUGACUAAUUUGGACUAGAUAUAUACCUUAUUCAUCACUGACUCCAUCCAAUCUACGUCCCACAUAAAGUAUUCUAUUGUGGACCCUUCAAUUUCUACCCUACUCAGUGAUAUUCUGAUAUAACAAUGUAAUAUUUAAGUCCGGAACAGACUAUCCUAAGGCUUUGUGAACUUUUGAGCGCUGUGCUUUAAUAUGCAAAAAACAGGUUACUAUACAAUACAUUGUCCUGACUGACACUGCUGUAUCCAUCACUGAUAUCCAUUCACAUCUUAAUAACUGCCAAAUACAUUACACUACAUUUUGUUUGGUCUGGAAAUGACUUUUGUAAAACUGUGUUGUCUGUCACCUUAAAAAAAAAAAAGACUUGAAAAGUGAUUAAAGAUCCAGGGUGAAUGUCGGAUGUGUUGUUGUGGUUAUAGUGAGCUGUUUGUCAAAUGGCAUCCUACUCGUCAUACUGUCUAGUGCACUACUUUUGACCAGGGCCCAUGAGCUCAGGGUCCAUAGGGUUAGGGCCCAUAGAGGUCAGGGCCCAUAGAGGUCAGGGCCCAUAGGGUUAGGGCCCAUAGAGGUCAGGGCCCAUAGGGUUAGGGCCCAUAGAAGUCAGGGCCCAUAGAGGUCAGGGCCCAUAGAGGUCAGGGCCCAUAGAGGUUAGGGCCCAUAGAGGGCAGGGCCCAUAGGGUUAGGGCCCAUAGAGGUCAGGGCCCAUAGGGUUAGGGCCCAUAGAGGUCAGGGCCCAUAGAGGUCAGGGCCCAUAGGGUUAGGGCCCAUAGAGGUCAGGGCCCAUAGAGGUCAGGGCCCAUAGGGUUAGGGCCCAUAGGGUUAGGGCCCAUAGAGGUCAGGGCCCAUAGGGUUAGGGCCCAUAGAGGUCAGGGCCCAUAGGGUUAGGGCCCAUAGAGGUCAGGGCCCAUAGGGUUAGGGCCCAUAGGGUUAGGGCCCAUAGAGCUCAGGGCCCAUAGGGUUAGGGCCCAUAGGGUUCAGGUCAAAAGUAGUGCACUACAUGGGGAAUAAGUAGGGUGCCACCUGGGGGACACAAUUCAUGUUGAAGUAGAUGGUUUCCUUCAGAGCUCUGGUCCUGUAUCUCUCCUUAGCCCGAAAAGCAACUCUGUUUUCUAUUGAAGUUUGUAAAAUAAGCGCUUUGAAAUAAAAUAACAAAUGAUAUCUCAUACUCUAGCCUGCUCUGGAAAUGUUUAAAAAUGCAAUUAUCGAUGAAUGAAAGCUUGCAUUACAUUACCCCAUUGAUUAAAGAUUAUAUUACUGAGAAUAGAUUUUUUCAUGUCAAUUGACUUCUUAACUUCGCAUGUUUCCCAAAUGGCACCCUAUUCUCUACAUAGGGCACUACUUUUGACUAGAGCACUAUGGCCCCUGGUUAAAAGUAGUGCACUUUGGGAAUAGGGUGCCAUUUGGGUUGCUGCCCAUUAAAUAAGCCUUGUGUUUUGAUUGUGUAACUGAAGGUCAGGGCUGUAGUUGAUCCCUGGACUAGUGGGUCUCAUCUUUACAAGCAUUUUGCUACACUCGCAAUAAUCAUUUGCCAACCAUUUAUAUGUGAC
ensembl:lncRNA